UACAGAGGUCUCAAGCGUUGUUCGGAUUCAUUGGGCGUAAAGGGUGCGUAGGUGGCGCGCUAAGUCAGGUGUGAAAUUUCGGAGCUUAACUCCGAAACUGCAUUUGAUACUGGCGUGCUUGAGGACUGGAGAGGAGACUGGAAUUCCCGGUGUAGUGGUGAAAUGCGGUAGAUAUCGGGAGGAACACCAGUGGCGAAGGCGACUUUCUGGCCUGUUCUUGACGCUGAGGCGGCGAAAAGC
rnacentral:rRNA from 1 species